rnacentral:lncRNA from 13 species
GCUUCAUCAAGUUCUAGCAGCACAUGUUAGCCACUCCUUGAUGCUUUUCUUAAGCUCAUUGCAGGACAAACGGGCAAUAUCAUGGUCAGGAUGCCAAAAGAGUGGGGCAGCAUGGUACUGCCAGUGUUGAAUGAACUCUAGCAUUUAGCACAUGGUUGCCAGCUGGAUCAGAUUGUCUGUGAUCUUGCAGUUCAUCACCAGGAUGCUGAUCAUCUCAUCUUAACAUGAGGUUCUUUCUGAUUUCUUUCCAGAAUUAUCCAGACACCACCUCACACAGUCUUGGAAUUUCUUUGUCUUUGUUUCCCAGAAUUUGGAAGAGUUCAUCUAGGAUCUCUGGAAGAUUUUUUUUUCUCGUAGCAUCAAAGGAAAAGUAAAUUGGAAUAGAAGGAGAUAAUGGAAAAAUGAAAGAUGGAAUAAUAGCACACCAUUGCAUUCCCGCAUAGGCUAUGCUUCCCUUGGGAACAAUGGGUCCUGGUUGCUGUGGGUUUGGUGCAACAUGGCAGUCCACAUCGCACACCAGAUCAUCUGGGAAAGAAAAGAAAAACGAACAGUUCUAAUUUUUUUUCUCUUCGAAAAGUCUUGUGUUUGAUUUGAGCUAUAUUUGUAUGAAAUAUAAUAAACACAGUUGAUGUAAC